GCUUUAGAUCCACCUAGAGGAGCCUGUUCUAGAACCGAUGACCCCCGUUCAACCUCACCCUUCCUUGUUUUUCCCGCCUAUAUACCGCCGUCGUCAGCUUACCCUCUGAAGGUCUAAUAGUAAGCAAAACUGGUACAACCUAAAACGUCAGGUCGAGGUGUAGCGUAUGGAAGGGGAAGAAAUGGGCUACAUUCGCUACUACAGUGAACACGAAAGACACACUGAAACAUGUGUCUGAAGGAGGAUUUAGUAGUAAGCAGGAAGUAGAGCGUCCCGCUGAAAUCGGCCCUGAAGCGCGCACACACCGCCCGUCACUCUCCCCAAAAACACCCACUCAAUUAAUUAAAACCUAAUACUCAUAGAGGGGAGGCAAGUCGUAACAUGGUAAGUGUACCGGAAGGUGCACUUGGGGAAAUC
rnacentral:rRNA from 1 species